rnacentral:rRNA from 1 species
UGGGGAAUUUUACGCAAUGGGGGAAACCCUGACGUAGCGACACCGCGUGAGCGAAGAAGCCUUUUGGGGUGUAAAGCUCUGUCAGCUGGAACGAACACAAUGACGGUACCAGCAGAGGAAGCAUCGGCUAACUACGUGCCUGCAGCCGCGGUAAAACGUAGGAGGCGAGCGUUAUCCGGAUUUACUGGGCGGAAGGCGCGUGCAGGCGGAUUGGAGAGUUGGAUGUGAAAGCUCCCGGCUUAACUGGGAGAGGUCGUUCAAUACGUCCAGUCUUGAGUGCAGUAGAGGGAAGUGGAAUUCCGGGUGUAGUGGUGAAAUGCGUAGAUAUCCGGAGGAACACCAGUGGCGAAAGCGGCUUCCUGGACUGUAACUGACGCUCAGACGCGAAAGCUAGGGUAGCAAACG